GGUUAAGCGACUAAGCGUACACGGUGGAUGCCCUGGCAGUCAGAGGCGAUGAAGGACGUGCUAAUCUGCGAUAAGCGUCGGUAAGGUGAUAUGAACCGUUAUAACCGGCGAUUUCCGAAUGGGGAAACCCAGUGUGAUUCGUCACACUAUCAUUAACUGAAUCCAUAGGUUAAUGAGGCGAACCGGGGGAACUGAAACAUCUAAGUACCCCGAGGAAAAGAAAUCAACCGAGAUUCCCCCAGUAGCGGCGAGCGAACGGGGAGCAGCCCAGAGCCUGAAUCAGUGUGUGUGUUAGUGGAAGCGUCUGGAAAGGCGCGCGAUACAGGGUGACAGCCCCGUACACAAAAAUGCACAUACUGUGAGCUCGAUGAGUAGGGCGGGACACGUGGUAUCCUGUCUGAAUAUGGGGGGACCAUCCUCCAAGGCUAAAUACUCCUGACUGACCGAUAGUGAACCAGUACCGUGAGGGAAAGGCGAAAAGAACCCCGGCGAGGGGAGUGAAAAAGAACCUGAAACCGUGUACGUACAAGCAGUGGGAGCCUCUUUAUGGGGUGACUGCGUACCUUUUGUAUAAUGGGUCAGCGACUUAUAUUCUGUAGCAAGGUUAACCGAAUAGGGGAGCCGAAGGGAAACCGAGUCUUAACUGGGCGUUAAGUUGCAGGGUAUAGACCCGAAACCCGGUGAUCUAGCCAUGGGCAGGUUGAAGGUUGGGUAACACUAACUGGAGGACCGAACCGACUAAUGUUGAAAAAUUAGCGGAUGACUUGUGGCUGGGGGUGAAAGGCCAAUCAAACCGGGAGAUAGCUGGUUCUCCCCGAAAGCUAUUUAGGUAGCGCCUCGUGAAUUCAUCUCCGGGGGUAGAGCACUGUUUCGGCAAGGGGGUCAUCCCGACUUACCAACCCGAUGCAAACUGCGAAUACCGGAGAAUGUUAUCACGGGAGACACACGGCGGGUGCUAACGUCCGUCGUGAAGAGGGAAACAACCCAGACCGCCAGCUAAGGUCCCAAAGUCAUGGUUAAGUGGGAAACGAUGUGGGAAGGCCCAGACAGCCAGGAUGUUGGCUUAGAAGCAGCCAUCAUUUAAAGAAAGCGUAAUAGCUCACUGGUCGAGUCGGCCUGCGCGGAAGAUGUAACGGGGCUAAACCAUGCACCGAAGCUGCGGCAGCGACACUAUGUGUUGUUGGGUAGGGGAGCGUUCUGUAAGCCUGUGAAGGUGUGCUGUGAGGUAUGCUGGAGGUAUCAGAAGUGCGAAUGCUGACAUAAGUAACGAUAAAGCGGGUGAAAAGCCCGCUCGCCGGAAGACCAAGGGUUCCUGUCCAACGUUAAUCGGGGCAGGGUGAGUCGACCCCUAAGGCGAGGCCGAAAGGCGUAGUCGAUGGGAAACAGGUUAAUAUUCCUGUACUUGGUGUUACUGCGAAGGGGGGACGGAGAAGGCUAUGUUGGCCGGGCGACGGUUGUCCCGGUUUAAGCGUGUAGGCUGGUUUUCCAGGCAAAUCCGGAAAAUCAAGGCUGAGGCGUGAUGACGAGGCACUACGGUGCUGAAGCAACAAAUGCCCUGCUUCCAGGAAAAGCCUCUAAGCAUCAGGUAACAUCAAAUCGUACCCCAAACCGACACAGGUGGUCAGGUAGAGAAUACCAAGGCGCUUGAGAGAACUCGGGUGAAGGAACUAGGCAAAAUGGUGCCGUAACUUCGGGAGAAGGCACGCUGAUAUGUAGGUGAAGUCCCUUGCGGAUGGAGCUGAAAUCAGUCGAAGAUACCAGCUGGCUGCAACUGUUUAUUAAAAACACAGCACUGUGCAAACACGAAAGUGGACGUAUACGGUGUGACGCCUGCCCGGUGCCGGAAGGUUAAUUGAUGGGGUUAGCGGUAACGCGAAGCUCUUGAUCGAAGCCCCGGUAAACGGCGGCCGUAACUAUAACGGUCCUAAGGUAGCGAAAUUCCUUGUCGGGUAAGUUCCGACCUGCACGAAUGGCGUAAUGAUGGCCAGGCUGUCUCCACCCGAGACUCAGUGAAAUUGAACUCGCUGUGAAGAUGCAGUGUACCCGCGGCAAGACGGAAAGACCCCGUGAACCUUUACUAUAGCUUGACACUGAACAUUGAGCCUUGAUGUGUAGGAUAGGUGGGAGGCUUUGAAGUGUGGACGCCAGUCUGCAUGGAGCCGACCUUGAAAUACCACCCUUUAAUGUUUGAUGUUCUAACGUUGACCCGUAAUCCGGGUUGCGGACAGUGUCUGGUGGGUAGUUUGACUGGGGCGGUCUCCUCCUAAAGAGUAACGGAGGAGCACGAAGGUUGGCUAAUCCUGGUCGGACAUCAGGAGGUUAGUGCAAUGGCAUAAGCCAGCUUGACUGCGAGCGUGACGGCGCGAGCAGGUGCGAAAGCAGGUCAUAGUGAUCCGGUGGUUCUGAAUGGAAGGGCCAUCGCUCAACGGAUAAAAGGUACUCCGGGGAUAACAGGCUGAUACCGCCCAAGAGUUCAUAUCGACGGCGGUGUUUGGCACCUCGAUGUCGGCUCAUCACAUCCUGGGGCUGAAGUAGGUCCCAAGGGUAUGGCUGUUCGCCAUUUAAAGUGGUACGCGAGCUGGGUUUAGAACGUCGUGAGACAGUUCGGUCCCUAUCUGCCGUGGGCGCUGGAGAACUGAGGGGGGCUGCUCCUAGUACGAGAGGACCGGAGUGGACGCAUCACUGGUGUUCGGGUUGUCAUGCCAAUGGCACUGCCCGGUAGCUAAAUGCGGAAGAGAUAAGUGCUGAAAGCAUCUAAGCACGAAACUUGCCCCGAGAUGAGUUCUCCCUGACCCUUUAAGGGUCCUGAAGGAACGUUGAAGACGACGACGUUGAUAGGCCGGGUGUGUAAGCGCAGCGAUGCGUUGAGCUAACCGGUACUAAUGAACCGUGAGGCUUAACCUU
rnacentral:rRNA from 1 species